rnacentral:lncRNA from 1 species
UUUACUUUACCACAUGAAUACAUGAUGGAAAAGGUGUGUGCAGUAAUUUGUACUUAUCUACCAAACCAUUCCAUUUUUGUAUAAGCUUUCUUACAACUAAACUGAAUCAAUUGUAGGAAGCGCAUAUUGAAAAAUGUGACAAGGCAAAUCAGAGUUGUACGAAAUUGAUUACACCAGACACGCAAGUCGCUAACCAGGUAUAUGUAAACUAUGGAUCAAAAGGGAUGUGUAUGUAUUAUUUUGUACAACCCAUACUAUAUAUAAAAUAGUAUGCAUUCAAAUGUCAUGUUCUAAAUGUUUCGUCAAUUGGACAAGUAUCAUAAUAGUUCGUCCAUGUCAGUAUGUGUUACUGUAACUUUUUUAAAUUAAAUAUGCUUUAUGAAUAACUAUGUUUUAUUUCUUGGAAUGGUAGGGUAAAAGUGAAGUCUUCUUGUUUUCGGCAAACCCAAAGGAUCUUUAGUGCGUAAAGAUAAAAAACAUACGUCUUUGGAGGAAACAUGCUUGGAGAUGAAUAUUAUGAAGUUUCAGUUUUCGCUGUCACAAAAAUUGGAAACGAAAGAUUUGCCUAGGCCAUAUGAAAAUUGUCAAAUGCUACAAGAUGCUAUUGGUUAAGUUAUUGCUUUGCCUCGGUCACAUGUAAGUAUUUUAAUUCUGGAACAACUCAGUAUUCACAAAUGUCUGAUAGUGAGCAUUGUUAUCUAUGAACACAUGUUGUGAUUUACAGGUCAAAAGAUCUAAGAGAACGACUCCAAACCAGCCAACAAACAACAAGGUAUUCUAAUUCCGUCAGAAAAUUAAACAUGUCAUUCUACACUCCCAGGAGAGCUUAUAUUUUCAAGGAGUAUUCAUUUUAUCUGCCUACUUUGCAGGAUGGUUGAGGCCAAGAGACAUGGGAUGAUGGAUAAGCAAAAAAGAUAAAGUUUCUGUUAGAGCAAAGCUUAUAGAUAUACAACUACUUAGAAAAAAACAUAUGUGCAAAUAUGAUCUUUUCUUUAUGUAUUGCACCUUAUCUACACGGAUGUUUAAUUCAGCUGUGAUUUGUGAC